rnacentral:lncRNA from 10 species
ACCUGAAGCACCUGAGCCACAGCAGCUGGGAAGGAGGAGGCCACGGGGACGCAAGGACAUGGAGAAAAGGUAUGAAGUAUCCACCGGCCAUCUGAAAAUAAUGCAGUAACUAAGAAAAACAGUGGCGAGAGGAAGGAGUGUCGAUGCCCCAAAUGGAUCAUCUUCCAGAGCACGUCUACACCGAGAUCAAGAAUGAAAAGGAAUUGGGAUCCUGACACAUCCACCAAAGAGCCUUUGAGUACUUCGAAAUCACUUGGAACAGGUUCCUGCAAAGCAAACCCUUCUGGGCUUGAGGAGGAAAUGGACCCGGAACAUUCAGCCCAUCUGAGCACAAACUUUCUGUUGACCUGAGAGGCUGAGGCCUUCCUGUUCCCCACUCAGACCCAGGAGGCAGCCUGCCCAGGGGGAGCCGGGGCAUGGCCUACGAGCUCCUGGAGUCAGGCAGCUCCUGAGGGGCCGGAUGGUCUUGGGCUGGCCAAGCCAGCCUCUGUCGUCCUGUGGAUGGUGGGGCCUUGUGUACGCAUAGCCUCUGCACAGGGGCACACUGUGGGUGUUUGGACGGACAGUGUCUCAAAAACCCAAUUCAGGGCUUGACAGCAGAUUUGUCCUCCACUCCAUGUGCAUAUGAGCAAGGAGAGUUAAUGCAAAGCUUUCUUCAUAGCAGAAGGUUGAAAACAAUGUACCUUUCUAUCAGCAGAGCAGGCAAGGGGGAUACUGUGUGUUUCCCACUGCUGCUGGGACAAAUUAUAACAAAUGUAGCAGCGUAAACCAACGUCCAUUUUUCAUCUCAUGCUCUGGAGGUCAGAGGUUCUCGCGGGUUCUUCUGGUUUUUCUGUUCAAGGUCUCAUGAGGCUGAAAUUGAGGUUUCAGCCAGCAGGGUUCUUGCUGGGAGGCUCCAGGAAGAACUGGCUUCCUGCUCUGACAAGCUGUUGUCAGAAUCCAGGCCCUACAGUUGCAGGACCUGGGUCCCACAUCCUUGCUGGCUGUUGGCCAAAGGCUGCUCCCAGCUUCUGGAGGCUGCUCCGUUCUCUGGCUCACGGCUCCAUCCUCCAUCUUCAGAGCAAAACCAGGUCAUGUCCUUACCUCGACUCUCUCUGCCUCCGCCUCCUGCCUUAUGGCUCGGCCUCCAGGGAGAAGCUGGCCAAUGCGCUCUCUUUUAAGGGUUCAUACGCUGGGCUCACUGGGGAAUCCAGGAUUGUCCCCCACCUUCACCUUAACCACAGCUGCCAAGUCUCCUUCCCCCGCCACACGUCAUGGUAGCACAUGAAGGGAUUGG